UACGAAGGGGGCAAGCGUUGCUCGGAUUUAUUGGGCGUAAAGGGUGUGUAGGCGGUUUUGUAAGUUAGAUGUGAAAUCCCAGGGCUUAACCCUGGAACUGCAUUUAAGACUGCAGAGCUUGAAGUUCGAAGAGGUUAGCAGAAUUUCCAGUGUAGAGGUGAAAUUCGUAGAUAUUGGAAAGAAUACCAAUGGCGUAGGCAGCUAACUGGUCGACACUUGACGCUGAGGCACGAAAGCGUGGGGAGCAAACAGG
rnacentral:rRNA from 1 species